rnacentral:misc_RNA from 1 species
UCAAACUUGGUCAUUUAGAGGAAGUAAAAGUCGUAACAAGGUUUCCGUAGGUGAACCUGCGGAAGGAUCAUUAAUGAAACCCUCGUCGAGAAGGGCUGUAGCUGGCCUCCCCCGGAGGCAUGUGCACGCCCGGAUCGCAUCCAUAACCUCUCACACACCUGUGCACCGAUCGUAGCUCGGGAUGAUUACGGGGCCCUCUUCCGAAGGGGGUCACGAAUGCCCUUGUCUAUGUUUUUUCUUUAUACACACACCGCGAAGUAACACAGAAUGUACGUCGAAACCACGUCUGACGAACGUGACGAAAUACAACUUUCAACAACGGAUCUCUUGGCUCUCGCAUCGAUGAAGAACGCAGC